rnacentral:rRNA from 1 species
UACGUAGGAGGCGAGCGUUGUCCGGAGUUACUGGGCGUAAAGCGUACGCAGGCGGUCCAAUCAGUCUGUAGGGACAGGGCACAGCUUAACUGUGACAGGCUUAUGGAAACUGUUGGACUUGAGGGCUUCAGAGGGAUGGGGAAUUCCGGGUGGAGUGGUGAAAUGCGUAGAGAUCCGGAAGAACACCAAAGGCGUAGGCACCAUCCUGGGGAGUCACUGACGCUCAUGUACGAAAGCUAGGGGAGCGAACGGG